GGAGGAGGAAGAGGCCGGCAGUGGAGGAAGGACAGCCGGAGGAGAAGGAGGGAGUGGCGGAGCGGUGGUCACCAGUUCGAUUCCCUUCGUCUGCGUGUGUGAAGGAGGUUCGAGGCGGAUCUAUAGCAGGACUCGAAUCUAUGUAAAGGAGGACUUGGAGAGAGGUGUGCGCCAAUCAGCGGUCACCACGCCCCACGCUCAACCAAUCAGCGUCAAGGAGGAGGAGGACCAAUCAGCGCCCAGCCCGUUGAGUUGAUGUUUGAAGCCUCGAAGCACCGGAGCGUCUCGACCGAGCAGCUUGUACGAGGUCAUCCCAGACUCCCGGGCAGUGUUCUCCUCAGCCCUGGGGAAGCAGCACACCCAGGCGGCCCCUCAGAAUCUUCUUGCCCCGUUGGGAGGUGCAGGACAGCCGGGGUGUUCCAGGAAGGGUGGCAGCUGCUUGCCCCGCCGGGAGGUGCAGGACAGCUGGGGUGUUCCAGGAAGGGUGGCAGCUGCUUGCCCCGC